ACUUAGGAACGGAAAUCAUAUCCUUGAAUUUUUCGUUUUGGGUAAAAUAUAGGUAAUGUAUCCUUGAAUUGAAACUCUACUAUUUUUUCUUUUGGGUAUAAAAUUGAUGGGAUACUCUACUAAUAUUUCAAAUAAUGUAGUAGUUCACUACCAUGGCUAUCUGGUUCAGGCGUUCAGUAGAACAGAACGUCUACAUAGGCUGGCGCUUGUAGGAUGAUUUAGCCAUCGCUCGCUCACCAGGCACCAUGGAUAUUUCUCUCUUGUCGCGGCACAUAUUUCCUUCCUAUUUUCUUGCUUCUCCUCCUCCUCCUCAUUCUCAUCUUUCAUUUUCCUUCUACAAUCCUCAAAGCAGAAAAUGUUCGUUGUGUGGUUUUAGAACCCUCAGGCUCCAAACGUUCUGUUCUAACCAAACAAUCCAACAUGAAACUGAAGAACCCGAAAACACCCAAUUCACCUACAAGAUCAAAAGGAAGAAGAGAAAGCUAAAACCCAGUUUUUAUGAGCAAAUUCGUGAUCGAUGGUCUCAGAAAAUUGGUUCUCAGAGAGCUAAGUUUCCAUGGCAAGAAGAAGAAGACCAACAACAACAACAGGAGGAGGAGGGAGAACCAGAAGUGGAAGAAAAAGGAGGAGAACCGGAGCUGGCUGACUCAAUGGGUUUUGCUUUCGGGAAUCGCUCAGUUUCAGCUCCCUGGACUCAUGGGAGCAAACCCAGAAGAACAAAUUCCUACGCUGCAACUGAAAUUGAUCAGAGCACGUUGAGUGGUUUGGGAGAAUUGACUGAAAUCCCCGAGUUUUCCAAAAAAAAUGGCCCUAGUAUGACUGUAACCCAGAACAACGGAGGUCUUGAGGAAGAAAAAGGAAGUGGCGAAAUUCUGGGUUCUGUUGCUAAUGUUGAUGCAUCCCCGAUUCGUCUAGUAGAGGAGGAAGUGGAUGACUUUAGUGAGGAGCUGUCUGCUUCCAAUGAAAGUAUUGACGUUCGAGUUGGCUCAAGUGAUAAUAGGGACCUGAUUCGGUUACCAUGGGAGAGGAAAAAACGUUCAGACUCUAUUGACCAGGGCAGGUGGAGAAGGAGCCACACCAAACUGGCAGAAAAAAAGGUUCCUGAAGCUGAAUUGCGAAGGCUGAAGAAUUUGGCCUUGGGGAUGAAGGAGAGGAUAAAAGUUGGAGCAGCAGGUGUUACUCGGGCUUUGGUGGAUUUCAUUCAUGAAAAGUGGAAAAAAGAUGAAGUGGUGAAACUAAAAUUUGAAGGGCCGCCUGCACUUAACAUGAAAAAGAUCCAUGAUGCUUUAGAGCAGAGUAAAACUGGAGGUUUGGUGAUCUGGAGGUCUGGCAGCUCGCUUGUGUUGUACAGAGGAAUGGCUUAUGGGCUUAUUUGUGUGCAAUCCUAUAGCAAACAGAAUGAAGCUAUUCAGAAUAUUGCCUGUAAUUCGAGAGAUUUAAAGAGAGUUGCCUCUGUGAAUGUAAGAGUAAAUGGUGAAGUGAAGACUAAGGAGCCAUCUAGGGCUGGUCUUUUGGUAUCCUCUACUGAUUUGUCUGAUGAACCCAUGGAUAGAAGUGAUCUUACCAAUUUGUUAGAUGAACUGGGUCCACGUUUCAGUGAUUGGACUGGCCGUGAUCCACAGCCUGUUGAUGCAGACUUGCUUCCUGGGGUCGUUCAUGGCUAUAAACCACCGUUCAGACUCCUUCCUCAUGGUAUAAGACAUUGUCUUCGCGACAAGGAAAUGACAAUGUUUAGAAGGCUUGCCAGAACAGUGUCCCCUCAUUUUGCAUUAGGAAGAAACAGGCAACUACAAGGCCUGGCCAUGGCUAUGGUGAAACUGUGGAGAAGGAGUGCUAUUGCAAAAAUAGCCAUCAAACGUGGUGUACAGAAUACCUGCAAUGAGAGAAUGGCAGAAGAACUCAAGAACCUAACUGGGGGGACACUUGUCUCUAGAAACAAGGAAUAUAUUGUCUUUUACAGGGGCAAUGACUUCUUGACCCAUUCUGUUACCGAGGCAUUGUUAGAAAGACAGAAAUUAGCAGAACUCCAACAAGAUAAGGAAGAGCAAGCACGACAGAAGGCUUGGCAUUUAAUUAUUUCAAAUGUCAAGGCUGCAAGAGGUCCAUUGGUUGCUGGUACCCUAGCGGAGAGCAUGGCAGCGGCUGCUCGUUGGGAAAAUCUACCUAGCAGUGAGGAAAUGGAGAAAAUGAUGAAAGAUGCUGCUUUGGCUAGACAUGCUUCACUAGUCAGCUACCUUGAGAAGAAGAUGAAUCAUGCACAAGAGAAAGUCAGGAAGGCAGAGAAGGCUUUAGGAAAAGUGCAGGAGUUUCUGAAGCCAGCAGAGCUCCCCACUGAUUUAGAAACCAUAACUGAUGAGGAGAGAUUUUUGUUUCAUAAAAUUGGUCUGAGUAUGAAACCCUUCUUGCUUCUAGGGAGAAGGGACAUUUUUGAUGGGAUUGUGGAGAACAUGCACUUGCACUGGAAGCAUCGGGAGCUUGUGAAACUAAUUGUGAAAGGGAAAAGCUUUGCACAAAUCAAGCAUAUUGCAAUCUCUCUUGAAGCCGAGAGUGGUGGAUUGUUAAUUUCUUUGGAUAAAACUACCAAAGGUUAUGCAAUUGUCAUCUAUCGUGGAAAGAACUAUCAACGCCCACAUGCGUUGAGGCCCCGGAAUCUAUUAACCAAGAGGCAAGCAUUAGCCCGAUCCAUUGAGCUUCAGAGGCGUGAGGCUCUGAAUCAUCAUAUCUCAGAACUACACAAUAGAAUUGAGAUGCUGAAAUCCGAACUAGAUCAAAUGAUCGCUAUCAAGGAUGCUGGGGAUGAAUCGUUUUACUCUAGGUUUACUGAUGCAUAUUCUUCUGAUGAUGACGAUGAUGAUAUGGAGAAGGAAGAUGAAGAGGCAUACCUUGAAACAUAUGAUGCUGGUGAUGAGGAUUGUGUCACUGAAAAUGAGUUCUUGUCUGACAAGGAAUCAAUGCCAUGAGGCCCAUGACUAACCCAAUCCAAUUGGAGCUUGAAAGAGCAAUCGGACAGAGGCUUUUUAGCAAUCACUCAUGGUGUUUUGAAUGGAAAAAGUGAAUAUGGAAUUGCAAGGUGUUACCGUGUUGCAGCAUUUAGUUUUGUCUUGAAUUGAGGAGUUUAUAGUUGGUAGAUGAACAAAUUGAAUGAUCUGGUGACCAUUGGGUUGUAAAGACAUUCUAUACUAUAUGCCAUUAAAGGAGUCAUGACCAUCCAAAUUCAAUGAUGAUUCUUCAGCAGGGCUCCUUCGCAGAGGUAUGAUUAUUUAUGAUGAUCCGGACAUGCUUGAAGUAAGAAGUGGUGGAAUGACAAAAGAUGAAUACAAAGUAUGAUUUACGAUAUGAGCCUUUCCCAGAAUACCGUAGAAGUUUCUCCUCAUUCUUCAACUUUGCACUAAGCUGUGAUGUUAUUUGUUUGUAACCGAUGAUUGUAUGCUCCCCUUCUUCUUCGAUGCAACUUUGGAAGUAUACCUGAGGAUACCGUAGAGAGCAUUGGCAACAGAGAGAUCAUCAUCAUAAACCCAAGAUCCACUUGGUGUUCAAGCAAAAAAGUCUAGGAUGUUUCAGGAGGUGCAUUAACAACAUCUGCUAUGUAAAUUCUGCUUACUGCUUUUUACCGGCAUAUGUAAGACUACUGAGUAGCUCUCUUGCCAAAGGUUUGGACUGGACCUCUUACAGGCUGUAGGACAGUAGUGACCUAGUUAUCCAAGUCUAUGGCAUCUUCUGAUUACCACCCACUGGGAUACACAGGGUGGAAGCAAGAGAUCAUUGAGAGCAUAACAUAUUAGCUACAUGAUUCGUAGGACCAUGACUGCCGCCAUGGGUUCCUAUGCAUUGCAAGCUGUACGUGUCAACACAUAUAUCUUGAGCUGCAGUUGGUGAAGGAAUGUAUGAGAUGAAAGUCCCCUUACAUAUGUCUAACAACUUUAGGUUCUGUUUGAUCAUUGUUUCAUUAAAAUGUUAAGUUCAUGUUAAAAUAUAACCAUAAUUGUUUUGUGGAAUAUGGAAAUUAGAUAAUUUUAGUUUGCAAAUGUAAUUUUUGCAUUCUAGUUCUGAAUUUUUAGGAUGGAUUGAUGCAAACCCAACUAUUUAAACAUUUUUUGUCGUUGGAUGUACUGAUUUUUAUACCA